ensembl:snRNA U6 U6 spliceosomal RNA
UUGCUUUGGCAGCACGUAUACUAAAACUGGAACAAUACAGAGGAGAUUAGCAUGGCCCCUUUACCAGGAUGGCACGCAAUUUAGUGAAGAGCUCCAUAAAAAU